UUUUUCAGAUUGCACUGGGGAGUGCCCAGAAGCUGGUGCUGGGUCUGUGCCUGAAUUGGAGGAAGACAGUACCGGGUGUGGCCAGCCUCUCCUGACAAUGAAUUUGCACGCUGUCAGGAACGUUCCCAGAGAGCCCAGGUGAGCGGUCAGGUCAGAGUGGAGGAAACUCAGCCGCAGCCACGGCUCGCCCCAUCCAGGGGCUGGCAAUUCUUGAAGGCCUUCUCUGGCCCUCCUCCUCUAAGAGGCAAGAUCUUCCUCUCAAC
ensembl:lncRNA